rfam:Procavia capensis cont1.82589, whole genome shotgun sequence.
CGCGGGUCCAAGCCUGUAGCCCCAAGUCGGAUAAUCUCUGCAGCUGGUAACAAGGCAGCCAGAAGCCAGGCGGCAGCCCUAGUCGAGAAGGAAGCCACCAGCGCCGAGG